UGGGGAAUUUUGCACAAUGGGGGAAACCCUGAUGCAGCGACGCCGCGUGAUUUAGAAGGCCUUCGGGUUGUAAAAAUCUUUUUUACGGGAUGAAAAUGACAGUACCGUAAGAAUAAGGUCCGGCUAAAUACGUGCCAGCAGCUGCGGUAAUACGUAUGGACCGAGCGUUGUCCGGAAUCAUUGGGCGUAAAGGGUACGUAGGCGGCCUAGUAAGUUAGAAGUGAAAUAAUAUAGCUCAACUAUAUAAAGCUUUUAAAACUGCUAGGCUUGAGAGAUGGAAGGGAAAGUGGAAUUCCUAGUGUAGCGGUGAAAUGCGCAGAUAUUAGGAAGAAUACCGGUGGCGAAGGCGACUUUCUGGUCAUCAUCUGACGCUGAGGUACGAAAGCGUGGGUAGCAAACAGG
rnacentral:rRNA from 1 species